rnacentral:rRNA from 1 species
GACAGAGGUGCCGAGCGUUAGGCGGAAUCACUGGGCUUAAAGCGUGUGUAGGCGGACCGUUAAGUACCUUGUGAAAUCCCCCGGCUCAACCGGGGAACGGCUGGGUAUACUGGCGGUCUUGAGCCAUCCAGGGGCAGUCGGAACAGACGGUGGAGCGGUGAAAUGCGUAGAUAUCGUCUGGAACGCCGAAGGUGAAAACAGACUGCUGGGGAUGCGCUGACGCUGGAGACACGAAAGCCAGGGGAGCGGAACGGG